rnacentral:lncRNA from 1 species
GAAAGGUCUGGUCGCAGAGACAGGAACGUGUAAUCCUCAGCGUGCUCCAGCCCACAGCUUCGCUCUACUGCUCGGCAGGGCAGCUGGCCUCUGGGCACCGGCGGCCCCUCUGCCUCGCGGAAAAGCCUGAUGAAGUCCUCCGAUAUUGAUCAGGAUUUAUUCACAGACAGUUACUGCAAGGUGUGCAGUGCACAGCUGAUCUCCGAAUCGCAGCGUGUGGCCCACUACGAGUGUGGUGCAGUUCCUCUGGGAAUGAGCAAUGUAACUUAAAACUAGCUGUGUCAAUAAGUCAAGGGUCCAGAAUUCUUGAGGAAGGGGAAUUUCAUUAGACAUACUAAGCCAAAAGAAGAUGUCACACUGAAGAAGGUGGCUGUGUGAAUUCUGACCCAGUCGAAAACAUGCAAGCAAAGUCCGACUGUAUUACAUGCUUCACCCCAGGGAUGGAGGGUGUCCUGCCAAGAGGCUCCGGUCAG